GCUGCCUCUGAGCCUGGCAGAUGUGGGAACUCACAUGUCAGUAAGGGAUAUUUCAAGGCAAGGACUUGGGUGACUCUCCGGGGUAGGGGGAGGAGCCUGAGUGCCUCCUUGCCACCACUGCCUGAACCCCUCAAAUGGUCUCAUUGCUAAUGCUUUCUAUGAAGCUUCUUCUGUAUCAUUCCAGGGAGGAAGCAGACAGGUACCUCAUUUCUACCACAUGAGGUGGAAAUCUGCACUCACCUUGUGGUCUCCCCCUCCAUUCAAGGUCUCGGCACUGGUACAUCUUUGCGAGGAUGAAGGUCCUGGCUCCUUUCUCAGCCUGGCACCACUCCACCGGGUUGGCAACAUCAUCACUGCCUGGAGUACAUGGAGCUGUGAGGCCUUCCCUGGCCUGGGCUUACUGUGGCAUUCGGCUUGAACAGAUCAUAGAAGUAGAAAUGGGAUGGGGUGCAUUGAGGCAGGACCAGCCUAUAAGCAUCAACAAAAAUGUACAGUGAUUGCUCAAACAAAAAUAUAUGAAGAUAGCUAUUAGUGAACUCAAGAGUCAAAAAAAAUAAUGUGGUAGAUGCUGC
rnacentral:lncRNA from 1 species